rnacentral:rRNA from 1 species
AGCGGCGGACGGGUGAGUAACACGUGGGUAACCUGCCUGUAAGACUGGGAUAACUCCGGGAAACCGGAGCUAAUACCGGAUAGUUCCUUGAACCGCAUGGUUCAAGGAUGAAAGACGGUUUCGGCUGUCACUUACAGAUGGACCCGCGGCGCAUUAGCUAGUUGGUGAGGUAACGGCUCACCAAGGCGACGAUGCGUAGCCGACCUGAGAGGGUGAUCGGCCACACUGGGACUGAGACACGGCCCAGACUCCUACGGGAGGCAGCAGUAGGGAAUCUUCCGCAAUGGACGAAAGUCUGACGGAGCAACGCCGCGUGAGUGAUGAAGGUUUUCGGAUCGUAAAGCUCUGUUGUUAGGGAAGAACAAGUGCAAGAGUAACUGCUUGCACCUUGACGGUACCUAACCAGAAAGCCACGGCUAACUACGUGCCAGCAGCCGCGGUAAUACGUAGGUGGCAAGCGUUGUCCGGAAUUAUUGGGCGUAAAGGGCUCGCAGGCGGUUUCUUAAGUCUGAUGUGAAAGCCCCCGGCUCAACCGGGGAGGGUCAUUGGAAACUGGGAAACUUGAGUGCAGAAGAGGAGAGUGGAAUUCCACGUGUAGCGGUGAAAUGCGUAGAGAUGUGGAGGAACACCAGUGGCGAAGGCGACUCUCUGGUCUGUAACUGACGCUGAGGAGCGAAAGCGUGGGGAGCGAACAGGAUUAGAUACCCUGGUAGUCCACGCCGUAAACGAUGAGUGCUAAGUGUUAGGGGGUUUCCGCCCCUUAGUGCUGCAGCUAACGCAUUAAGCACUCCGCCUGGGGAGUACGGUCGCAAGACUGAAACUCAAAGGAAUUGACGGGGGCCCGCACAAGCGGUGGAGCAUGUGGUUUAAUUCGAAGCAACGCGAAGAACCUUACCAGGUCUUGACAUCCUCUGACAACCCUAGAGAUAGGGCUUUCCCUUCGGGGACAGAGUGACAGGUGGUGCAUGGUUGUCGUCAGCUCGUGUCGUGAGAUGUUGGGUUAAGUCCCGCAACGAGCGCAACCCUUGAUCUUAGUUGCCAGCAUUCAGUUGGGCACUCUAAGGUGACUGCCGGUGACAAACCGGAGGAAGGUGGGGAUGACGUCAAAUCAUCAUGCCCCUUAUGACCUGGGCUACACACGUGCUACAAUGGACAGAACAAAGGGCUGCGAGACCGCAAGGUUUAGCCAAUCCCACAAAUCUGUUCUCAGUUCGGAUCGCAGUCUGCAACUCGACUGCGUGAAGC